rnacentral:rRNA from 1 species
UCGUACGUGUAGCCAGCAGCUUGCUGCUUCGCUGACGAGUGGCGGACGGGUGAGUAAUGUCUGGGAAACUGCCUGAUGGAGGGGGAUAACUACUGGAAACGGUAGCUAAUACCGCAUAACGUCGCAAGACCAAAGAGGGGGACCUUCGGGCCUCUUGCCAUCGGAUGUGCCCAGAUGGGAUUAGCUAGUAGGUGGGGUAACGGCUCACCUAGGCGACGAUCCCUAGCUGGUCUGAGAGGAUGACCAGCCACACUGGAACUGAGACACGGUCCAGACUCCUACGGGAGGCAGCAGUGGGGAAUAUUGCACAAUGGGCGCAAGCCUGAUGCAGCCAUGCCGCGUGUAUGAAGAAGGCCUUCGGGUUGUAAAGUACUUUCAGCGGGGAGGAAGGUGUUGAGGUUAAUAACCUCAGCAAUUGACGUUACCCGCAGAAGAAGCACCGGCUAACUCCGUGCCAGCAGCCGCGGUAAUACGGAGGGUGCAAGCGUUAAUCGGAAUUACUGGGCGUAAAGCGCACGCAGGCGGUCUGUCAAGUCGGAUGUGAAAUCCCCGGGCUCAACCUGGGAACUGCAUUCGAAACUGGCAGGCUAGAGUCUUGUAGAGGGGGG